AAGUUAAGGGUUUUGGAUUACCGGAGAAAAGGCCUGAGAGACGGCCAUUACUUCUAAGGAAGGCAGCAGGCGCGUAAAUUACCCAAUCCUAAUACGGGGAGGUAGUGACAAGAAAUAUUGAUAUUGGACCCAAAGGGUACAAUGAUUGAAAUGAGAACAAUAUAAAAAACUUAACGACUAACAAUUGGAGGGCAAGUCUGGUGCCAGCAGCCGCGGUAAUUCCAGCUCCAAGAGUGUAUAUUAAAGUUGUUGCGGUUAAAAGCUCGUAGUUGAAUUUCUGAAAAUAAUCUUGUGAUUGAUUUAACCGUCAUGAACAAAAAUUGUUUACAUACUUGAUAGAUGGAAACAUUUAUCUUAAUGACUUUGAAAAAAUUAGAGUGUUCAAAGCAUGAUUCACAUUUGAAUAAUACAGCAUGGGAUAAUAUAAU
rnacentral:rRNA from 1 species